UAUAGUCUUUGGUGUUUCCAUACCCUGAAAUCUCCAAGAUCAGCUCGAAAAAUAGUCUUUUAACAGUUAAUUGCCAACGUGUAAUUCGGUUUUCGGUCACCGGAGCAUCUCGUACGCAGAUCCUUUCCGACGCAACGGCAGUAUAGCCGCAACAGCCGAAGUGACAACAGGUAAACUCUUGCCGAAGAAACAGAAGGAGCUGGAGAGGAGAGAGAGAGACAUUGCGGUACUCAGUGAUGCUGCCACCGCAGUUAUGACCCCCUGGACUUCCUCUGUUCAUCAGGGGGAGUCCAGGGACCCUUCUGGACUCCCCCCGAUGAACAGGGGGAGUCUGGGCAACGACGUUGGAGGAACUGCGACCUGUAACACAAAUAACAAAUAAAUAAUUAGUUAACGCAAUACAUGACAUUACUCUAUGACGUACCACGUAACUUAAUGUAUGACUUGAUAUAAUAUAUUUUAUGAAUCAGUAUACAAGUUUAUGAGACGUUUGAAUUAUAGUAAUUUGUACCAAGUUAUGUGAUAAUAAAUUAUUGUCUUGCC
rnacentral:misc_RNA from 1 species